UACGUAGGGGGCAAGCGUUGUCCGGAAUCAUUGGGCGUAAAGCGCGUGUAGGCGGCCAGAAAAGUCCGCUGUGAAAACUCGGGGCUUAACUCCGGGCCUGCAGUGGGUACGGGCAGACUAGAGUGCGGUAGGGGAGACUGGAAUUCCUGGUGUAGCGGUGAAAUGCGCAGAUAUCAGGAGGAACACCAGUGGCGAAGGCGGGUCUCUGGGCCGCAACUGACGCUGAGGAGCGAAAGCAUGGGGAGCGAACAGG
rnacentral:rRNA from 1 species